rnacentral:rRNA from 1 species
GACAGAGGCCUCGAGCGUUAGGCGGAAUCACUGGGCUUAAAGCGUGUGUAGGCGGACCUCUAAGUACCUUGUGAAAUCCCACGGCUCACCCGUGGAACCGCUGGGUAUACUGGGGGUCUUGGGCCACUCAGGGGCGACUGGAACAAGCGGUGGAGCGGUGAAAUGCGUAGAUAUCAUUUGGAACGCCAAUGGUGAAAACAGCUCGCUGGGAAUGAUCUGACACUGAGACGCGAAAGCCAGGGGAGCGAACGGG